rnacentral:lncRNA from 1 species
AUGUCAUAAUUGUUUGUCUUUGAACUAUUAAAGUUUAAUGACUGCUCAUUGUAAUGGAUGAGUCCAGAUAAUGUAUCGACUCCAUGAAAAAUUAAUAAGAUGAUCGAAAGAGUUAAAACUGCUUAACAAUAUCAAGUAUAACUAAGUUUGGUUUGACACACCGUUUAGCAAAGUUUGGUUUGUCAAUUGGUAAUUUCCUAUUUUGGUUUGAGGAUCCUCAUACUAUUAUUAAACGGGUGUCUUCUUCCAAAAUUGUAGUUCACUUGAAGUUCAAUAAAGCUAUCGUAUUCACUUCCAAAAGAAAAGAAAAUAUAACUAACUUAAUAUUAGAUAACAAUAUCAAAUAUAACUAAAAUAGCAUUUGUUUAUACUUGUGGAGCCAAAAAUAAUCAUAAGGCGACACGUGGAUUUUUUGGUGAAGAUGACAAAUUUACCCUCAAGGCAUACUGGGUCUCCUACACGCGAGCAGUGGAGAAUCAUCCAUCAACCAAAUCAGGAGUACCCAAAAUAGGUAACAAGUUCAAAUUUGUCUUAUCCAUCUUCAUUCCAUAACCUCCAAAAAACUCCCAAAACAUUUCUUUUAUUAUGAUAAUUAGCCAAUUAAUAUAUUUAUACCUAAUUAAUAUAUUAAUUGCUAAUUGAAUCACCAAAUAACACUCCAAAACACACUUAAAGGCCGGCCACAACCCAUUCCCUAUAUAUAUGACUCUAUUUCUUCUAAAAAGCUAAGUUCCAUACUCUUGCAAAACUCCCAAAAAUUCUCCAAAUACUUUUCUCUCUAAAUUCUAACUUUGGCAUCGGAGGUUCUUCGGCCAAAGUCCCCCAAAUUCAUCGUGGGCGUGUGAGGCUCUUGGCCUUAACCUAAGGUAUUAAUUGUUUUGUAGGUGCAAUUUUGUCCAAGAAGAAGAAUGCAGAAAUUUGCAUCCACAAAUUGGUGCUUUCAUUGAGAGUUGAAAUCCAUACUCGUAUAAGACUCUCGUAUAAAAAGGUUUUUUCUCUAUUUUCUAGUCCAUUUGAAUAUUUUUCAUACGUUCUUAUUUUAGAAAUUUUUAUUUGCAAAGGUUCUUUGAUAAAAUGUAUAAGAAAAAUAUAAUUGCUAGAAAAAUUUAGAAAAUUCCAUAAGUGAAAAUUCUAAUACUCAAUAAAUGGGACCACGGCGAUCCACGAGGCUAAAUGUGGUCAUAGGCAGAGUGGUACCACCAUUACGAGGUUCCACCAUGGCCCAAGCCGUGCCAUCCAAUCUUGCACGGGCCCGAGCCCAAGUCGUGUCAUCCAAGCUUGCACGGGCCCGAGCCCAAGCCUCACAUUCGCAUGCAUCAUGCACUGAGCAGCCUGCUCCCGACAAGCAACCUACUCUCGCAGCCGAGCCUGCUUUCGUGGCACAACCUGCUCCCGACGAGCAGCCCACUCCCGUGGCCCAGCCUGCUCCUGCUGAGCAACCUGCUCCCGCUGAGGAGCCUGCUCUCGUGGCCUAGCCUGCUCCCGCCGAGCAGCCCACUCUCGCGACCCAGCCUGCUCUUGUGGCCCAGCUUGCUCUCGUGGCCCAGUCUGCUCUCGUGGCCCAGUCUGCUCUCGUGGCUUUCCAAACAGCCCAAGUCAACCCAAGAUUAUAUCAACCAUCCGGACAUACCAUCGAGUCGGGGGCAUUCUCACCACAUUUUUCUCACGGAUCUGACACUUCCCAACUCAAAUCUCGCGUCCACUGCCUAAUGAGGCAUAUUCCUUCCAAGCUCUUCCAAUCCAAGUGGCGAACAACACUUGUCUCGACAAGUCAUAGAGUUGACGAGCGCCCUUGCACAACAGACGACUUUGGUGAACCAGCUCUUGCAGUGCACCAAGAUGUAACUUACCCUAGACAAGGUCUCCCGAAGUAGGACAAUGGUAGACGAAGAACCUCUCCAGCAGCGUCCUGGCAAGCAGCCAUUCGACCAGUCACAAACCUAGCGUUCUAACGGAGUAUACUUCUGACUGGACUCCCGAGAUAGCGUAUACUCCUGUCUUAGCGCGUGAAGGAGCGUGCACUCUCAGUUAGGCCCACGGACAAACAUACACUCACGGAAGAGCAACCUCCGAGUUACUCAUUCUCCUGAUAGAAACAUAUCAUACCGACCGCAGCCGAGCAUAGAAGAGCCGAACACAUGGAAGAGCAGCCUAGACUAACAGGUCACGACCGAGGGCAGUUGAGGGCUCUGCCACCCCAACAAAGGCAAAUUCAUGAAGAAGUAGAAAUACUCAUAACCAAGCGAUUGUGCAAUUUCCCGCGUAACAAAGCUAUUGACAAAGCGCUUCGAUGAGACAUGACCAACAUAAGCGAGUUAUCUUUCAAAGACAAGAUCGAGCAAAUAGGACUACCCCACAUAGAUUGCCGGAUAUAAAGACUUUUUCUGUUUCGACAAACGCAGCAGCUUAGCCUAAUGGCACGCCGGGGGCAGACGAGUAUCAGAAGGACACACCAGCCCGACUACCAAGAACCUAGGGCAUACCUUGUUCUCAACACUCCAGACAAUUCCUCCCACUGCACACAACAUGGCCUAAGCCAGCCUUAUCUCUAAUUUCACAACCACGCCUGCCUGUUCCACGGUUCCCGGCGGCCAUUGAUCUAUCACCGUGGCUCAUAAUUGUGUCAAUCUUGCACCAUAGCUCCUAGUCAUGCCGAUCUUGCCAUGUGGCUCGUGUCAACCAAGCCUAAAAAAGGCACACAACAAAACACCUAAUAAUGGCACAGUAAUUCUGGGAGCAGCUCACUGUGCUUACAUCCUUACGCGAGGUUUAUAAGCAGUUUGAAGUCUCAAGCAGAUCGCCAAACAAGACCUCGCAGGCUAAGGAUUAUUUUGGUUGUCCCAGCAGUCUAGUUUUCCUCAGUUGCACUCACAACAACGACUUCCAUGCUCUUCAAUGUGAUAGGGUAAACCAAUUCCCCGACACUCAUAUGGGUCUGCUCUCCAAUGCGAGAGGAUAAACUAACUGCUCUCCAGUGCAAGAGGGUAAACCAAUUCCCCUACACCUAAAAUGGUCUGCUCUUCAAUGCGAGAGGAUAAACUAAUUGCUCUCCAGUGCGAGAAGGUAAACCAGCGCAAUAGGGUAAACUAAUUGCUCUCCAGUAUGAAAGGGUAAACUAAUUGCUCUCCAACGCGAGAGGGUAAACUAAUUGUUCUCCAGUGCGAGAAGGUAAACUAAUUCCCUGACACCCAUCUGGGUAAGCUCUUCAGUGCGAGAAGGCCACAUAGCUUAAAAGAUCGAAUGUUUGAAGAUCAACUAGGUAACAAAUGGUCAGGGGCAGCAUCCAUUUUUGCACUUAACAGUUCACUAAUUCAACACUUCAUCUUCAGCAGCUCCAAUAUUGGCAGCUUUAUCCUUGACUACUUCAUCUACGACAGCUGAGAAAUCAAACUCAAGUAGUUUUCUUAUUUUUGGCAAGCAGCCUAAACCGUUGCCCAUGUCACACCACUUCCUCGGCCCAUGCCGAGCUAAUCAUUGGCUUUAAUCAAGUCGAGCAGCACAAGCAAUGACCCAUGCCACGCCACCUCUUUGGCCUAUGACAAGUCGACUUCUGGCCCCUGCCAGUCGACGUACCGCACCACCCCAACAGCUACCCCGUGGCAGCACCUCCCAAGAAGAAGACAAGGAAAAUUAAAUUUUCCUUACAUCGGUGCGGCGUGGAGAAGACGAAGAAAGCAACGAAAAACGAUCUUUUGCACGGACAAGAUGUAGAAGAUUGCUAGAGGAGGGGGAACAAAUAUCCUUUAAGCUCUCUCUCUCUCUUGUAGGGUAGAAUAAAUCACUCUCCAAAGUUGAUUUAAUAACCCACUUAAGGUGGACUUAAAUAGGCUUUGAGAGAAAUUUAUUUCUCUUUCCUAGAAGGAUCUAAUUUCCUAUUAAAGAGGGAAUCUACAUCAAAAUAGGAAGUAGUCAUGCGUUUCCUAAAUCAAGAAGAUCUCUACACCUACUGCCCUUUCUUACGAGCAGCCCAACAGGUAUGAGGGCAUUUGUGAAGCCAAAAAUAAGCACAAGGCGACACGUGGAUUUUUGGAUGAAGAUGACAAAUUUACCCUCAAGGCAUACCAGGUCUCCUACACGCGAGCAAUGGAGAAUCAUCCAUCAACCAAAUUAGAAGUACCCAAAAUAGGUAACAAGUUCAAAUUUGUCUCAUCCAUUCUCAUUCCAUAACCUCCAAAAAAACUCCCAAAACAUUUCUUUUAUUAUGAUAAUUAGCCAAUUAAUAUAUUUAUACCUAAU